CCAGACAGCCAGGAUGUUGGCUUAGAAGCAGCCAUCAUUUAAAGAAAGCGUAAUAGCUCACUGGUCGAGUCGGCCUGCGCGGAAGAUGUAACGGGGCUAAACCAUGCACCGAAGCUGCGGCAGCGACACUAUGUGUUGUUGGGUAGGGGAGCGUUCUGUAAGCCUGUGAAGGUGGCCUGUGAGGGUUGCUGGAGGUAUCAGAAGUGCGAAUGCUGACAUAAGUAACGAUAAAGCGGGUGAAAAGCCCGCUCGCCGGAAGACCAAGGGUUCCUGUCCAACGUUAAUCGGGGCAGGGUGAGUCGACCCCUAAGGCGAGGCCGAAAGGCGUAGUCGAUGGGAAACAGGUUAAUAUUCCUGUACUUGGUGUUACUGCGAAGGGGGGACGGAGAAGGCUAUGUUGGCCGGGCGACGGUUGUCCCGGUUUAAGCGUGUAGGCUGGUUUUCCAGGCAAAUCCGGAAAACCAAGGCUGAGGCGUGAUGACGAGGCACUACGGUGCUGAAGCAACAAAUGCCCUGCUUCCAGGAAAAGCCUCUAAGCAUCAGGUAACAUCAAAUCGUACCCCAAACCGACACAGGUGGUCAGGUAGAGAAUACCAAGGCGCUUGAGAGAACUCGGGUGAAGGAACUAGGCAAAAUGGUGCCGUAACUUCGGGAGAAGGCACGCUGAUAUGUAGGUGAAGCGACUUGCUCGUGGAGCUGAAAUCAGUCGAAGAUACCAGCUGGCUGCAACUGUUUAUUAAAAACACAGCACUGUGCAAACACGAAAGUGGACGUAUACGGUGUGACGCCUGCCCGGUGCCGGAAGGUUAAUUGAUGGGGUUAGCGGUAACGCGAAGCUCUUGAUCGAAGCCCCGGUAAACGGCGGCCGUAACUAUAACGGUCCUAAGGUAGCGAAAUUCCUUGUCGGGUAAGUUCCGACCUGCACGAAUGGCGUAAUGAUGGCCAGGCUGUCUCCACCCGAGACUCAGUGAAAUUGAACUCGCUGUGAAGAUGCAGUGUACCCGCGGCAAGACGGAAAGACCCCGUGAACCUUUACUAUAGCUUGACACUGAACAUUGAGCCUUGAUGUGUAGGAUAGGUGGGAGGCUUUGAAGUGUGGACGCCAGUCUGCAUGGAGCCGACCUUGAAAUACCACCCUUUAAUGUUUGAUGUUCUAACGUGGGCCCCUAAUCGGGGUUGCGGACAGUGUCUGGUGGGUAGUUUGACUGGGGCGGUCUCCUCCUAAAGAGUAACGGAGGAGCACGAAGGUUGGCUAAUCCUGGUCGGACAUCAGGAGGUUAGUGCAAUGGCAUAAGCCAGC
rnacentral:rRNA from 1 species